rnacentral:lncRNA from 1 species
GGUUGACAAGACAGAAGUUGAAAGUCUGCUUAGUGCAGAGCUUCAAACACCUCAAAAAAUACUUGAGGCCUUGCAAGAUAGAGGCAGAGCUGCAAACAAAUAUACUGCUAUGAAGAUUGGAGUUAAGGAAGUGUGGCCACUUUUCAUUAAAUGGAUAGUGUACAAGAAAAUUAGAUGACCGGGAAUCACCAGAAGAAGCAGAACUUGAGCUGACUUGUUAUUUACUCCUACA